GACAUCUUGGUAGACUAAAAGGUCUUCAGACAUUAACUAAAUUUAUGGUUGGCAAAGAUAGUGGAUGUGGCAUUGGAGAGUUAAAAAAACUUAAUCUUCUGAGAGGAUCACUUUGUAUUAAGAACCUCCAAAAUGUUACAUCUCUUACGGAUGCUAAUGACUUAAACUUGGUGGAUAAGAAGUACCUUGAGGAGUUGGAAUUGAGCUGGGCAUAUUGGUCGAAAGAUAAUACUGUAGUAAGGCAAAUAGUUGUCUUAAAUAGUCUCCAGCCCCAUUCGAACUUGAAAAGUCUCACUAUUAGGGGCUAUGAUGGUAAAAGUUUUCCGGACUGGGUAGGGCAACAGCCUUCUUUUGAGAAAUUGGAAAUACGUGAUUGUCCAGAAGUUGAGUCAUUUACUGAAGGGGGAUUGCCUUCCAAUCUAAACGAAAUUUCCAUCAUCUUUUGUGAUAAACUCUUUGUGAACCGAAUGGGGUGGGGUUUGCAAAAACUCCAGUGUCUUAGAAGAUUCAUGCUUUGGGACGCAAAAACCGAUGUGGAGUCCUUUCCAAAUGAGGGGUUGUUUCCUACCAGUCUUACCCAUCUUUACGUCCAAUUCUUUCCAAAAUUGAAAUCUUUGGACAAGAAGGGGCUUCAACACCUCACUGCUCUUGAAGAAUUGCAUAUCUCGUCCUGCCCUAAGCUCGAGUGCAUGCCAGAAGACGGGCUGCCUGCCUCCCUUUCUACUUUAAGGAUCUUCGAAUGUCCUUUGUUGGAGAAAGAGUGGGGAAGGAAAUAAGGAGAAAAAUGGCGCAAGAUUGCUCACGUCCCCAACAAAUAUAUUCAUUACCACGUACGGAUUGAAUGAGCUAUAAUUUAUUGUAUAGCAAGGUCAUCCGAAAUGAAAUGGUCAAAUGCUGUCAUUCUCUUCCAAUAGGCUUUGUUGAUUGUGCCGGAUCAAACUGGGUUAGGGUUAAGGGUACUAUCCUUAUAUUUUCGUUUAAUAAUUAUAUUUUGAUUUGAACACAAAUUUCCAAUUUAACCAAUCAAAAAUCAGAAAAGAAUUGAAAGCCCAAAAGAUCUCAUAUUAGUUGGGUUUUGUCUUUUGAGCAGGUAAUCUGGAGUGAAAUACAAGUUGUACUUGUGUGCUCAAGGCCUUGCUACAGAUGGUCAACUGCUCCUAGGCAUUAUUUUCGUAUCUUCUUAUCAAUGGGUUCCAUUCUCUUCAUCAUCCUCCAAUGCGAUUUGUUAAUUAUGCUUGUACAAACUGGGUUAAAAGCAGUUGAUUUUACCAUUGGUACGAGAACUCUGAAAUGGUGUAAAUAUUCUGUUGGGAUGUCUUUUUUGCUUUGGUGGCAAGCUCCUCUGCCACAGCUGUUUCAAUUGGUGGUUCAAAGGUGUAUUUAUUGGGCAUUGUCUCCUUGUGCUCUUAUGAUCAAUUUGUGUGAUCAUUUUUCCCUCUUUCUCCGGAAUUUUGCACGUAAUUUGGUUACUGAAGACAAUUUGUCCAGCGUAAAUGGGUUGAUUUGGAAUUGAUUGUUAAAAGUCUCCACGUUACUGUCAGGUACUUUCUCUGUUCAACCAGCUAAUUUCUCUCUUUGUUGAGGAUAAAAUGCUUUGCCCAAUUUUUUAUUCUUCCAUUAUUUUUGUUUAAUAAUUCUGUUUUAAUUUGAUGCCAGUUGUCUAAUUUAAUCCAUCAAAAAAAAAAAAAAAAAAAAACUAAUUAAAAGCCCAUAAGAUUCUAAAUCGGUUGGAUUCUGAGUGGUGUUUGCCUUUGGAGCAGGUCAUUUAGAAUGAAAUACAAACUCCACUUGUGUGUUUUCAUGGAUUCGGUAGCAGAUGGUCAACCACUCCUACUCUGUGUCGGAGUGGCUUAAUGGCAACUCAUGUUUGUUGACAUUUUGAGUUUAGAAAUCAAUUCAAUUAACAUUGGACAAGCUCAAUCUUGAUUUUGCCAUUUGAGUUGUACAAUGUUUUUGGUAGGUGAAAAACGUUUUUGGGUUUUAUUAUUAAACUUAUUUAUGGUUAAGUUCUCUACCAAAACAUCUUCUUUGCAGAAGGUUGACUUAAGGAGUCUGGAGAUGGCUGCUUUGUGGAGAUAUUGGGGACACUUUAAGCUUGUGAGUUUUUCUAAUAGGAGAAAGUUACUUGUUGAUCUGUUGCCACUAUUGAGUCACUUUUUUUGUGUACUAGCAUAUUGGAUUGCUAGGAGCCUAGGUGGAUGCUAGCCCAACCCAUCAAAAGAGCAACUAGUUGAUGUUGUUCAGAGGCAUUUCAUGUCACAUGUACUUGCAAAACUGGUUGCUACUCCCUUUUUCGUGUACUUACAAUGUUAGUUCAAGCAGCUUUUUAGUAGUAGAUAGCAUUAUUCUGUUAUGAAAAAUGAAAAAUCCAUAUUUCUGGUGGUGAAGCAAAUGGACGACUUGCAGGUCAUUUUGGGGUUUGUUCAGGCUGCAAUUGAUUGAAGACUGUGCAAAUGACCUGGAGACAAAUGGGGAGAUCUUUGAAUUUGGUUGUCUAUGCCAACUGAUGAUACUGGUACCUAAAUGUCCACUUCCCUCUGCCGUGAUGUUUGUAACAAUUUAUCAGUGGCUUGUUUAUGUCUAUCACUCUAUCAUUUUCGGUUACAGAGCUCGUGACCAGACCUCUAAAGAAGAUCUUUGUGGCUUUCUUUCCAAACUUGGUUGAAUGUACUGCUGACUUGAGGAAGUAGGUUUUUAAAGACCUCUUCAUCUGUGCUGGAUGGGCUUAAGGGAAACUGAUGUUUGUUGACAUUUUGAGUUUAGAAAUCAAUUCAAUUAACAUUAGACAACCUUUAUGUUGUGAAACUAUAUAAAUGCUAAGUUUUUGCUCCUGAAUAUAUUCUGAGGUUAUGGAUUUUUGACAUGAUCUUGGCCUUUGUACUGUUGCCCAAAAAGUCAGACAAACCAAAUCAAAACUGCCUGCAAUGAUCACUAUCUCUAUAGUAGUAGUUAUAACAAAACGUUUCAUGCACAUAUUGAUCAUAAAGUUACUACAUUUACUUCAAUCUAUUUAUUCCUUUUCUUUUUAAUCAUCAUCGUUGAACAGUUUGCAUAGAGAGUGGAAUGGACUUUGCUCUGUGACAUACUUGCUUCGUCAUGUAGACUUUUAGCCACUUCCACCCCACUGAUUCUACUCACUGGUAUACUAAGAACUUGGUAAAAGAAGAAAAAGAAGACUGAAGUAAUUCAGUCUUGGUUCUCAGAGCUCAAGCUAACCAGCAUUGGUCAGAAGUAAUCCUCCUUCUCAAUUAGUAUGUUCAUGUUUUUUCCUAGUGGCUAAUAUAGGGGUGCUCUGGGCAUCAGGAAUUGGGGCAUCACUAGCUUAUUCGUGUACAAGAUCUCCUCUGAAACCAAGCCAUAGGCUAAUUCAAAUUCUUGCAAGCCAACCAACAACCUAUCAUCACAAGAGUUUUCAAUGAGACAAUGAUCGUUUCCUCAUUUUUCAAUGAGCAAGUGGGAUAGAGCAACUUCUGGCUACUUCUGAUCAAAUACAAGGCAGCAUAUGAAAUUGAAGUAAAGAAGGGGGGCAGAUUCCCUCUGGUCUCUCAAUUCCUGGAAUAGAAACCUUUUACUUGAAUUCUUCUUGUGACAAUGAUCCUUUCUUCAGUGUACACAUGAUUGGCUUCGCUAGAUAUCGGCUGCAGAAACUUGGUUCUCCACAAUAGCUUGACUGGCCUUCAAUUAAAUGCUAUUUCUGGAAGUUGUUAGAGACCAAAAUAGUUCUCAGGACAUUGAUGAACUAUUGCUGAUUGUUUUUU